rnacentral:lncRNA from 1 species
CGUGCCGGCGAGCUCCCCCUCCUCGAGCGCCUCCUCCAUCUGUGUGGAAGAGCUCGGGAGAUAGGCGCGGGGCGGCGACAGUGGUUCCACUUAGAGGAGGCAGCUGUGCUUGAGGAGGUGCGGACAAGAAGCGGCGAUGUAGGUGGCGGCGCGCCCGACGUGCUCGGGCGAAGGCGGCGGCAUGGGGAAGAAGCGGCGCUCGGGGAAACGGCGGGAAGCCAGAGCUUGAGCUUGCUGGUGCAUGGAGGAGGAGGCGCUCGGGGAGGUGGUGGGUGUGCCUCCAUCGGCCGCGGCGGCGCUGACGGCUUGGACAUCAACCAUCUGCUCCUCCGCGGCAGCCACUCGCUGUCCCUGCCUGCCGUGACGACACCGUCUCCGCCCAAGAUGGAGCUCGGGAAAGGCAAUGGCGGCGGUGCGGAGACCCUGACCUGA